rnacentral:rRNA from 1 species
GAUGAAUGCUGGCGGCGUGCUUAACACAUGCAAGUCGAGCGGCAGCGGACCUUCGGGUGCCGGCGAGCGGCGGACGGCUGAGUAACGCGUGGGAACAUACCCCAAAGUGAGGAAUAACUGCCCGAAAGGGUGGCUAAUGCCGCAUAUGGUCUUCGGAUUAAAGGAUUUAUCCGCUUUGGGAAUGGCCUGCGUACGAUUAGAUAGUUGGUGAGGUAAAGGCUCACCAAGUCGACGAUCGUUAACUGGUUUGAGAGGAUGAUCAGUCAGACUGGAACUGAGACACGGUCCAGACUCCUACGGGAGGCAGCAGUGAGGAAUAUUCCACAAUGGGGGAAACCCUGAUGGAGCAACGCCGCGUGCAGGAUGAAGGCUUUCGGGUCGUAAACUGCUUUUAUAGGUGAAUAAUAUGAAUGUAGCUUAUGAAUAAGCACCGGUAACUACGUG